AAAUUCUCAAGUUAUUUUCUAUCUGAAUUGAAGAUUCAGGAGUUUUUGACUUGGAUUUUGGAAGCUUUUUUGCUGGCUUGUGUGAACAAGGUCUGCUCUUCUCAAAUAUAUUAGCAAAUAGUCAGAUUUGUUCUCUCUUUUUGGUAUAAUAAAAUUGCUUGUGCCAUUCUGAGAUCUUGAAUCAUUCUUUUAUGAAUGAUAGACUUGUGCUUCCAAUAGUCUUAUUACUGAGACAGAAACUUUGAAUAAGUAAU
rnacentral:misc_RNA from 1 species